CUUCCCUGCGAGUGGCCAGGACCAAUGUGAUGUGGCCGGGGCAGUGGGGCUGGAAGAGGAGUGGCAGCUGUGUUUGUCACAGGCCUGGCUGAGGAAUUCUCUGUGGCUCUGAGCCCUCGCUCCUGCUCCUCAGGGGCUCCUGGCCCCUCUCCUGCUCAAAGCUUGCUCCCCCAGAGGGUCCAGGCAGCGGGACCUGGGUGUGGGCCGGCCUUCCCUGCCCUGCCAAUGAUGGCUGGGUGGUGGCAGAGCCCCGUAAGGCCCAAGGAGUUCUGCUCAGUGCAAGACUCAUCAUCUGGCCACACUGCAGGUCUGCAGGGGACAAGGCUCCAGGAACAGGAAGACCCAGCUCCCAUGGCCUGGCCCCCGAAGGCUCGACCCCGGGGACAGACUCUGGGAAACUCUCUCAGCUGGAGGCUUUCUGUGCAGCUGGAGUUUAAACAGCCCAAGGCUCCGGGCUGUCAUCUCCGCCCAGGAUUAACUGCUGCUGGAGACGUCCUCUCGUGGGCCCUGUGCUGAGGCUGUACAGCUUCCUACCUCACGCCAUCUCUGUGGUCACAGGACGCUGAGUGGAGAAAAUAAAACCCACGCAGGGACGGCAACCAUCGUGGCGAAAGGCAUCAUCACAUUUUAUGAAUGACAGAUGGCUUUUAUCGCACCUUUGCAUGGUCGCUUAUGGUAAUAGGACUGCGGUGCCCUGAGACGUGGGGAUCUGCGUGAGUGCCCCAGGCAAAGUCUGCUCUUCCAGCCUCGAAUCUGGAUCCCAGGAGCCCGUCCAUAUCCCUCAUCCAGCAAACUCCAUGGCCAUGCAGGGCUCCUCAGGACACUGCAGUUGUGCCCUGUUUAAAACAAUAACUGUUUCUCAAGUUUCUUGGAGUGAAGCCACCAUGACCUUUGCAACAGACGAAGCCUACACUUUUUCCAAGUGUGACUCAAAGGACAAAAGGUUCAUGCACAAGGCAGUUCUAAAAGUGGAUGGGUAAUUGCUGGUUCUGCUUCCUGUAAGGAUUUUGUAAGAUCACACCAAACCCACUCCCUUACAGAAAACAGCUUCAAAAUCUGUACACAAUGCAAACAGGCUGCUUGUGGGCGUUGGAGAGUGAACAGCAAGACGGACCCGGGGUGUACACGGGGGAUAAAGGAGUUGCAGGAAGCACGUUCUCUUUGACCGUGGCUGUUAGCCUGGGCACUAUGUAGUUAGGGCAUGAGGAGCUGGGGGUCCUCAGGGAAGGCCACAGUCUUCAUGGCCUGGAACAGGAGCAGAAUGAAAUUGGGGAAGCUGUGGCCAGUGGAGGGGGGGGGAGCGUCCAGAAGGGGAAACUUGGCAGACUCUACUCAUGUUUCCGACAGGCCCUGAACUGCACACACCCAAAGCAGAUAAAAGAAGCCCAGCUAAAGGCAGAAAGUCUGAGUUCAGGCUGCAGCUGUAGCCAGGACACUUGCAGUUCAAGCCCAAACACAAUCACUACCUACUACACCGAAAGAAACAGCAGCUGGUGGAAAGCCACAGAGUCCAGAAAGUCCACAAUACAUGCAUAGUGCCCAGGACCCAAUUCCGGAUUACUCAGCACACAAAGACACCGAGUGGAACACAUUCUUAGGAGAAAAGAACGUCAACUGAGGUCGAUCCCAAGUGACCAGGUGUCGUGGUGGAAGAUGGGGAUGGGACGUCAACUGAGAUCGAUCCCAAGUGACCAGGUGUCGUGGUAGAAGAUAAGCACAGAAUGUCAACUGAGGUCGAUCCCAAGUGACCAGGUGUCGUGAUAGAGGAUGAGGAUUUUACUCCGGUGGCUUGAAGCUGGAUUCGGUGGAUAAACAGUGUUAUAUCCUCUUGACUAAUUGGCCCUGUUGGAAUUACAAAAUGACCUUCUUUAUAAUGCUGGUUGUGUUCAUUGCUCUGAAAUCCACCUUGUUCAAUAUUACUAUAGCUGUUCCCGCUUUUUUUUUUUGACUAGUGUUAGUACAGUGUAUCUUUUAAAAUCCCAUUAGUUUUCAUGUAUUUGUGAAUUCGUAUUUAAAGUGGGUUUUGGGUAGGCAGCAAUUAGUUGGGUCUUGCUUUAUUAUUCAGUCUGACAAACUGCCGCUGAAUUGGACCAAUGGUUAUAGAUCAUUUUCAUCUACCAUCACUGUUGAUAAUGGUUGGACUUAAACCACCAUCUUGCUAUUUGUGUUUUAUUUAUCCUGUCUACUUUUUGUUUCCUGUUCCUCUUAGCCAACCUUCUUCUGGACUGGGUAUUUUUUAAUCAUCCCAUUUAAUCACUUCUGUUGGCUUAUUCCCCAUAACUCUGUUUGUACGUAUGUAUGUGUGCGUGUGCGUGUAUACAUUUUAGGGUUUAUAGUGUGCACCUUCAACUUAUCAUAAUCUAUCUUCAAAUAAUAUUACACUACAUCAUGAUGGUUUAAUAACCUUACAGCAGCACACUUCCAUUCCCUGACCUCCUUCAUGUCCUUGUGGGCACAUAUUUUAUUUCUCUACAUGUUCUAUACCCAGCAAAACAUGCUUUUCCUUCCUGUGCUUCUAUUGGGUCUCCUAUAAUGUCAUUUUCCUCUUGUCCAAAGGACUUUCUUUAAUAUCUCUUAGUGCUUAUCUGCUGGUAUGAUUAAUAUUUUAGCUUUUAUAUGUCUGAAAAACUUGAUAUCUCACCCUGUUUCUACCUUUGUUGCCAGGUACAGAAUCACAAAUCAACAGGCUUUUCCCGGCAGUACUUUGCAGAGCUUGUUCCACUGUCCUCCAGCUCGCCUCAUUUUCAAGGAGAAACCUGUCGUCAUCCUUGUCUUUGUUCCUCUGUACCCAGCACGUCUCUUUUCUUCUGCCUGCUGUUAAGAUUGUCUUGUUCUUACCCAGUUUAAGCAGUUUGGUUAAGAUGUGCCUUCUUCGUACUUCAUACUUUUUGGACUGGGAUAUGUAGCUUUUAAAAAGCAAAUUUCAAAAGAUUUCAGUCAUUAUGUCUUCCUUUUUUCUGUUUUUUUUCUUUGUUUUCUUUGUGGGACUCUAAAAGUAUGAAUUUUAGGCCAAUUGAAGUUGCCCCCCAAUUACUUUGUGCUCCUUUUGAAGGGGUCUAUUUUCUGUCUGUGUUUCACUUUGGAUGGUUUCUAUUAUAUACCUUUAAGUUCAUUAAUCUUUCCUUUUGUAGUGUCUGUCUAAUCUCAUCAUCUCAUCCAGUGAAUUUUCUUUAUCUCAGAAAUUGUUUCAUCUCUAAAAGUUAGAAUUGGGACUUUUUAAUGUCUUUCAUAUGUCUACUUAACGUUAUCAUGUGGAAUAGAGUGAUAAUAACUACAGUUCAUCUGUGUCUAGGAAUGCCCUCAUCUGUGCCAUUUGUGAAUUAGUUUCAAUUUGUUGAUAUUCCUCAUUACAUGAUGUGUUUUCCUGCCUCUUUGCAUACUUGGUGAUUUUUUACUGUAUGCUAGACAUCAUGUACUUUUCCUUGUUAGAUCCUGGAUAGUUUUGCACUCCUAAAAUUAUUUUUGAAACUUUUCUGGGAUGAAGUUACUUUACUUGGAAACAAUUUGAUAUAUUUGAGGCUUGAUUUUAAGCUUUUUUGGGUGGGGCCUAAAUUAGUCUAGGACUGAUUAUGCUCUACUACUGAGGUGAUACCGUGCUGAAAAAGCUUAAUAAGGAGAAAAAUCAAUCAAUAAAUAUUCACGUAUAUUCACAAAAUAUAAUGAGGAGAAAAAUCAAUCACUAAAUAUUCACAUAACCCUAAAAAAAAGUUAAGAAAUGAGAAACAAAGGGGAAACUGGAGGAUAUGUAUAGAGAGCGAGGCAUAAAAUUACAGAGCCAAACACAACCAUGUCAAUACUUACUUAAAUACGAGUGGACCAAAGAGUUCAGGUAAAACGCAGAGGUUGUCAGAAUGGAUAUGAAAACAAGACCCACACACAUGCUGUCUUCCAAAAUUGCACUUGAAGAACAGAGACACGGGUAGCUUUAAAUGACAUUAAAGUUAAAGCAUAAACAUUGGAAAGGGAGAAGAAGAACUGCCUCUUUAUGCAGAUAUCAUGAAUCAUGUAUGAGGAAGUAUCUUAAGAAAGUUACAGACAACUAGCAUAGGCACUGAGAAGGUGUGGUCUACUCAUAUGAUGGAAUACUACUCAACCACAAACAGGAAUGAAGCCCUAACAUCGGACACAAAGGGCCGCAUGUUACAUGAUUCCAGUUAUACGAAAUGGGCAGAUCUAAAGAGGCAGAGUGCAGAUUAGUGGUGCCAGGAGCUGGGGGAAGGGAGGAACAGAGAGUGACACCUUGAUUGCUGUGGUGUCUCCUUUCGUGGUGAUGCGAAUGUCUUGGAGCCGGCAACAUGGUGAACGCACUAGAUGCCACUGAAUUGUGCACUUCAAAAUUGUGAAAAUAGUGAAUUUUAUAAUAUGUGAAUUUUACCACCAUAAAAACCAAACUAUUAGUUCAAAUAAAAUUAGUUUAGCCAA